rnacentral:misc_RNA from 1 species
GGGGGGAGAGAGAGAGAGAGAGACUUAAUAUAGCAUUACAUAGAGAGGACGAUAACUGGAUUGUGAUUACCAUAACUAUCUUUGGCUGCAAUAUCUUCAGCAAAGGUUGAGCUUUCGUCAUCCUGGUAAUCAAAUAUCAUGUUGAAAGUCAUUAACAGGAUAUUUAAAAUAGUUUAAACAUUUACAACGGAGCAAUAUGUCGAUUUUCCCCAGUUCAAUUAUUAAAUAAACUAGGAUGUGUACUAGAACAUUCAUUUUGGGAAGGUCCUAAUAUGAACAAGACAAAUUGCUUGGAUAAAUUAUUUCUAGUUUCAAACAUACUGAUUUUUCAGUGCUUUGGUCUCUUUUGCAGGAUGAAGAUAGCCCAAAAGUUACUAAAGAAAUUGGAGAAAAAAAUUUCUAGAAUAAUGCUUAUGACUAUUAAGCUGAUAUAUUUUGGAAGCUGCAGAAAAGGGUAUCAAAUCCAGCAGGGUCUCCUCUCUGCAUAUGAAAACAUGGUCCUUCAACACCAAAGCAAUAGAUGUUGCUUCUGAAGCAAUGCAGGCCACAAAAAAAUAACUUCCCUUGAGCAAAACAGAAACAAGUUUGACAGAAAUGGCAUCAUAAAGCAAACCAUGCCCGAUUAUCCACCACCAUAAAUUUUCACAAACUGGAUACAUUCAAUGGAACUAAACUUGAACAGAAAAAUAUAACCUUACCGUAUUCCAGAAAGGAAUGAACAAUGUAGAACCUUCAUUGCUAUUGGCUUGAAAGGCAAGAGAGCCAUAUCAGCAUCCAAUCCAUCCUGCAAAUUAUAAAUUCCUUAAGCCAUUUCUUUAAAUCAACAACAACAAAUAAUUGUACCUUUAAUUUCAGUUAAGAAGAAUGAAGAGAAUUCUAACUCUAAGAAUGUAAUUAGGAAACAUAUUUCGUAAGUCAUUAGAAAAUAUAAAGUACUUGGGCACCUCUAAAACAAGUAAAGAGUUUCGAUCCCCACACCAACGACGAAGCAAAUGAACAAUAGGACCAAGCCGCAGACUCCAGUGAGGAGCAAAAAUAAUGCAUGGUUCCUGCCAAUUGGCUCUAACCACAAAAAUGUUAGUUUGAGAAGUGAAAAUUACUGUUCGGCUAUCCAUGCAAGGUCCUUGAUAAUGCACUACCAUAAGAACUCUUCUUUUUGUUGAUAUAUCCUUUCUUUCUCAAUUAUUGCAAGAGACAAUUAUUUAGGUACUAACCUCAGCAAAUUUUUUUUAAGAAAAGCACUACUUUCAAGCAAAACAUAAAGCAGCACUCUGGGGGACUUUAGAAACAGUAAUUUUCCACAUUGACUUAACAUGUCUGACAAUGUUAUAGGAAACAACAAUUACUAUAUUUUCGAUGAACAUUAGCAUAGCACCAAAUUCUAAUAAACCACAAGUGUUAAAAUAGAUUUGCGAAUAGACAAAAGAAUAAGAAUUAUUCUAGGCCAAGAAGGAAGUCAAAGUUUGGAUGAUAUAACAAAUUCAAAGUAUUCCCCACACAGAAGAGUCUGUCAGAGUCAUGGAAGGAUACAUUUAAUAAAAAUUACUGACAUUUGCCUAUAAAAGAAUGAGUCAUUUGCAAGAAAUAUAUUUGCAUAACAAAGAUAUUCCGUACAUCAGAUUGGGUGAAUGAAUAGCAGGAAACACAUAUAGCUUCUUUCCUUUCAUGAGCUCGAUGUGCGAAUACAAUGGCUCACCAGAAAACAGCUGUCAGACAUCAAAAGGAAAAUCAAACAUGUUUUGCAAGCAAUAGUACUACAAAUGAAAUAUAGUUCCACACAAUAAACCAAUAAGCCUCCAAACUUAUGUACCUUCUCUUGCCGGAGUUUGGAAAGCCAUUCUGGUAUAAUAUUGGUGAACGCCAGUAGCUCUGCCGCUACAGAAGAGAUAACAUAUAUUGGAACCUUUACAGCUGAAGAUUCAAGGGAAAUUGGUAUCUGCUCCAGCAACUGCAGAACAAUUCCAAGUCGACUCAGGGGAAUAAGGACAGAACCACCAGCCUUAACAGAAUCCACAACACAUGAGCAUAUAAAAGCUAGUUUCUUACUUUCCUCUAUGCUCUCAUCAUUUCUCAAUAAGCAUUCAUUCAAUUCUUUCCAAUUAUCUUCAUCACUGAGUGUUGACAAAUUGUUAGUAGUUGGAGCAGAAUAGUUAUCAUGAUGUUCAACAUCUUCUAUCACAUCCUCAGAUGAGAAGUCCAAAUACAAGAUCAGAUCAGCCCCUUGCAAAGCACGAUAGUCAAACUCCAUCGCACAAGCAGACACAAAUAUAGAGCUUGAUAAACAUGAAAUAUUUCCUUCUGGGCUUUCAAC